UGUCAUUUUCAUCCUUUUUUUUCCCCCUUUUUGAUUCAUUGAUUUCAGUUAACUGCUUGAGCUUUGAUGGUGUAUCAGUUCUCUUAGCGUUGUUCUCACCAGGCCGAAGUGGCAGUUGUAUUCUUUUACUUUGUGUACCAAUUCUCCUAGAUCCUUUGCUUAAAUGCUAUUUUAUAGUUUAAAUAGUCAUCAUAAUUUAAUUGUACAGAUAUACUUUCUAU
rnacentral:lncRNA from 1 species